ACGAACGCUGGCGGCAGGCUUAACACAUGCAAGUCGAACGCCCGUAGCAAUACGGGAGUGGCGCACGGGUGAGUAACGCGUGGGAACCUACCCUUUGGUUCGGGACAACCCAGGGAAACUUGGGCUAAUACCGGAUGAGUUCCGCUGGUCGAGAGGCUGGCGGAAGAAAGAUUUAUCGCCGAAGGAGGGGCCCGCGUCGGAUUAGGUAGUUGGUGGGGUAACGGCCUACCAAGCCUGCGAUCCGUAGCCGGUCUGAGAGGAUGAUCGGCCACACUGGGACUGAGACACGGCCCAGACUCCUACGGGAGGCAGCAGUGGGGAAUAUUGGACAAUGGGGGCAACCCUGAUCCAGCCAUGCCGCGUGAGUGAUGAAGGCCUUAGGGUUGUAAAGCUCUUUCGCGCACGACGAUGAUGACGGUAGUGCGAGAAGAAGCCUCGGCUAACUCCGU
rnacentral:rRNA from 1 species